rnacentral:rRNA from 1 species
CCCUUAGAUGUUCUGGGCCGCACGCGUGCUACACUGAUGCAUUCAAUGAGUCUAAAACCUGGUCUGAUAGGGCUGGGUAAUCUUUUGAAAGUGCAUCGUGAUUGGGAUAGAUGAUUGCAAUUCUUCAUCUUCAACGAGGAAUGCCUAGUAAACGCAAGUCAUCAGCUUGCAUUGAUUACGUCCCUGCCCUUUGUACACACCGCCCGUCGCUACUACCGAUUGGAUGGUUUAGUGAGAUCCUCGGAUUGGUCCCGGCGCGGCCUCUGGUCGUGCCGGAGUGCCGAAAAGAAUGUCGAACUUGAUCAUCUAGAGGAAGUAAAAGUCGUAACA